ensembl:misc_RNA 7SK 7SK RNA
ACAUGUGAGGACGAUCUGGCUGUGACAUCUGUCACCCCAUUGAUCACCAGGGUUGACUUGGCUGAUGUGGCUGACUAAGCAGGUGUCCCCUCCCUCCCUCAUCGCUUCAUGUGCAUCCCUCCUGAAGCUGUGUGCUCUGUGGAAGAGGACGACCUUCCUGAUAGAGAAUUAUUCUUUUGUCAAGGGGAUAUGAGUAGCAGAGCUUCCCUGCUGGAACCUCCAAGCAGACUCUCAAGGUACAUUUUUGUAGGAGAAUAUAGGGUAGUCAAGCUUCCAAGACUACAGACAUAUCCAAAUGAGUGCUGCAUGUGGCAGUUUGCCUUUCUU